GACAGAGGGUGCAAACGUUGUUCGGAAUUACUGGGCGUAAAGCGCGUGUAGGCGGUUCGGCAAGUCGGAUGUGAAAGCCCUGGGCUCAACCUAGGAAGUGCAUUCGAAACUGCCGAACUUGAGUUCUGGAGAGGAAGGCGGAAUUCUCGGUGUAGAGGUGAAAUUCGUAGAUAUCGGGAGGAACAUCGGUGGCGAAGGCGGCCUUCUGGACAGCAACUGACGCUGAGACGCGAAAGCGUGGGGAGCAAACAGG
rnacentral:rRNA from 1 species